UAAAUAGGUAAGUCUCCCUACAUUGCUUUUACAAUAUAGCAAGCCUUUUUUGAAAUCCUUCUUCCACCUCAUCCCACAUCCUCAUUGCUUUAAAAUGAGCUCCCAAAGGCAAACCUAGAUAUAUGGUGGGUAGAUGCCCUACCUUACAUCGCAGAGUAGCAACAAGAGCCUCCACAUCAUCAGCUCCUCCAACUAGAAUUAGCUCACUUUUCUUUAGAUUGAUUUUCAAAUCUAACCUCUCAUAGCCUCUACCACCCACCUUGAAACCCAAGAAGGAAACCCCUUCCCUAGUUCUCCUUAGAAUCCCCUCUAUAGCCAAGAUAAAUAAAUAGGGAGAAAAGGGAUCCCCUUGUCUUAACCCACAAGAACUACGAAAGAAUUUUGAUAGGGUCAUGUUGACAAGAACUAACAAUUUUGUUGAGGAGAUGCAUCAUUUAAAGUUUUAAACCAUAUGAUCCACUUAUGACCAAAACUUGAUUUCUCUAAGAUCACCAAUAGGAACUCCCAAUUGGCAUGAUCAUACACCUUCUCAAUAUCAAUUUUGCAAAUAACUCCACUAAUGGAGCUUUUCAACUUUGAGUCUAUGGCCUCAUUAGCUAUGAGAAUUGCAUUAAGAAUGUGUUUACCCUCCACAAAAAUGGAAAUAUGUUGGUAGUUUAAAACCACAUUUCCCCCUACCUUUUUGAGUUUGCUGGCUAAAACUUUUGCCAAAAGCUUAUAAAAGGCCCUCCACUAAGAUAAUUGGUUUGAAAUCUUCCAAAUCCAAGGGAGUGACAUUCAAACUUCUCUCAAAAAACCUAUUGUAAAAAAUGUCCAUGAAGAAACCUAUUACCUCUUGCUUAACAAAUUCCCACAAAACUGUCAAAAUGCCUUAGUGAAGCCAUCUAGUCUUGGAGCUUCAUCCCUAAACAAAGCGACUUGAACUUUCUCCUCGAUGAAUGAAGUCCCAAGCUUAUACAGGAGAUUUUGAACGGCUCUUGCCCCCCUACCUUCUUUUUUGUCAAACUCAUCGAAAAGCAAAACUUAAUUUAUUCUAACUUCCACCAUUUGAGAAUUAAUUUGUUAGACCCUUGUAGCUUGCAAACACACAAGAUUAACUCAUUGAGAUCUAAUCAGAGCCUUGAUAGUUUUUCGUUUUUCCUUGUCAUUAACCCCAACAUUUCAAGAUAAAAUCCUUAAUUGCAUGGAUAGUUAGAAACAAGUUCCCUACCACUUUUCUAACAUCUUGUCGCUUUUCCAUGCGCCUGGCUAUAGUUAAUUGAGUACUCUACCUUUCGGAGUUCCCCAACAAAAGGAGAAGUUGGAAUAUCUCCUCUCUCUACCUAUCACCACCACUUUACUCCUUUUUCUAGCCUUUGAUUUCCACAACAUAGAAAAAAUUCCCUACUCACAACCUCAGACAAUUCCACAAAAUUGUUGAAAGAGGCCAACUUGCAUAAAGACGAAUCUUGAACUUAACUCCUCCCCCUUUAGGUCCUAGCAAAGGCAGUCCUUACACAAGCCCACCACCUCACUACUCAACAAUUUCCACUCUCUUUAACCCGUUCCUUAAGUUUCCUUGGUACCCCCACCAUCAUGCCUUCACAAAAAAGCAUUUGUAGUGCCCUUCACCAUCACUGCAAGCCCAUAAGAAAUCACCCCCCUUCAACUCCCUCCAAAGAACUAAGCCUUUAGUGAGAUCCGACAAAGGGCUCCCAUCCAUAGUGCGAAAAGAAGUAGAAGAAACCCUGCCCUUCAAUAGAGAAGAAAAAGUCAAAGCCAUAUCUGAAAGUCUGAUAGCUUCAUUAAGGAGAGUUUCAUCGACAAAGGAAACUCUCACUUCUAGCCAUCGAGAUUCCAUUAGAAGGCAAAGGUCUUCAAACAUAGAGCUUUGACGAUUCCUCUAGUUGAGAGUAAAAUGGGGUUGAUCACCCCUCUUUAAUUAGGAAGCCCACUAAUGGUGCAAGAGUGGGUUGAUUGCAAGAGGCCUUGCAAGCCCAUCCCGCCUCCACAAAAUCCUCCCUCCCCCCUUCCCCCUUUUCACAAGAAGCUCGAACCUAAGAAGACGAGCCCUCAACUUGAGCAAGCCCUUAUAACUAAAGGUUGCUAGUCCUCCACAAUCCAGCCCUUAAGAGGAUCAUAGGCACAAACACUUUGAACCAUCAGCCCACUAAAACAACCAUUGGGGCCACUAAAUGACUCCUUUGGCAAUGAGCCAACCUCCUCGCUUGACCCAACUUUUACCAACUACUUGCACUAGGUAGAAAAGGCUAACCCCGCCACUCCUUUAGCAAGCCACAAAUGCUCCUCUUGUGACACCCAUUUUCCCUUUAGAACACAUUUCACCUCGUUAGAUUCAUCCUUGACCUUUACUCUGCAACUUCCAUUAAGAGCCACCAUCAUCAAGCAUAGAGAUAUCUCCCACCAUAGUUGAGUAGCAAAGACAAUUGACCUAACUACAACAUGCAAGAUCCUAGGCACCUUCCUCCUGUAAGAUCUUACAAGAAUCUUAGCCCAUUGAAGAUGACAAUGAAUCGCAUUACCCUCAUCAACUACCAUAAUUCUCCACAAGCAUCACCCAACCUUUAAACAAUUUUUUCCCCCCAAAUGAAGAGGUAGCCCACCCACUCCCACCAAAGCUUCUUUAGCACGCAUCCCUUUCUUGAAACAUCCUACUUCAAAACCCCACUAGUCUAGCUACACCCCCUUCCGCUUUGAAAAAUAUGUUGCCCAAAUGCUAUAAUACUCUAUUGACUUCAAUGGCUCUCCUAAACUCAAACAGGAUGACAGAACCUCCCAACAUAGCCAAAUGGAGGUUUCCCUUUAGUCUCCAAUUGUAUGAAGCCUAAUUUUAAUUUUUCAGGUGAAACAAAUUUGACACCUGGUUUGAGAAGGCUCCUCAUCUACCCACCAGGCACUUUUUCAAGGGCUUGAAAUUUUCCUUAAGUUCCUUCAUUUCAAACUAAAUCCAAACUGCAUCGCCAACCUUACCUUGGCCUUUAUUCACCGUCCCCGCAAAAGAAAUUAUCUUUCAAAAAAGUCCCCUACCACUAUCUUCUAAUUGUUUGAUAGCCUCCCAAGGUGCCUCUACAAUCCUCAACGAAAGAGCAACACCAGCAAUUCUCAGCUUAUUAGCAAUAAUCUUCCAUCCCCCUAGGAAGCCCCUCCCUUCAGGGAAGACUAACAAGAACCUUUUUUCCUCUGCUGAUAAAACUGAACACAAUAGAAAUCUUCCUUCUUGGUUGCUGCAAAGCUCCAGUUUGUAGGCUCUUACCACCUUCUUUCUGAUCCAUCUUAAAGCACAUGUUAUUCUUUCCUUUAUAGCCAAUAAGAGAUCCCUCUCACCAAACCUAGUCCAAGAGGAAAGCCCUCAUCCUCUCUUCAAAUUUUUUCCAAUUCUCUAACCUUUAAUCACCUCUAUCAAAAUCUCGAAAGAUUUUGAUUCAACACAAAAUCAACUGCAUCCUCCAUCCAUCCCUUGAACUCCACUUCCCUCAGAUGUUUCUCCAAGCUUGCUUAAUCGAAGAAUAAAUCCUUUUGAUAAAACAUAUUACUGGUUGGGACUUGACCCUUGCAAAUCCUACUUCAUUAUUAAGGUUUCAAGUUCAACACUAAACAUUCAAACUUCCUUAAGGCUCUGCCAUUAGAUACAAAAAAACUCAAGUCGUGUAGAUUUCUAAGUCGUAAAACUAAGAAUACAAAAGGCUCUCUACAUCUAGAUUCUUCCUUUUUUUUCCUUUUUUUUUUUUAAGGAUCUUCAAUAAUGGCGGUGCCAUAUGACUGAAAGUGGAGUAUGCAACAAAGAUGGUAAUGGUGUCAUUGGUGAAGAGAUGGAGGUACUACAAUGAAGGUAGUCUUGAUGGAGGUAAUGAAAUUUUCUCCUGUUGGUGUUGGAGAUGAUAACAAGUUCAUUGUUAAACAAUAAGGGCAGUCAAUACAAUGAAGAUGGAAUUGAUUGGGCAGCAAUGGAAGAAGCAACAGCAGUGGCAUGGCGGACGAGAGGUGGUGUUAGUGGUGACAAGACAACAUAGAGGUAAAGCAAUGGCAUUGAUGGAUGUGAUGGAUCGGAGGCCAAGGUGGAGACAGCAUCACGGAGGUAUGGCAGUAACAAGGUGGCGAUGGUGGGGAUGAUGGCGGCACUGUCAAUGGCAGAGUGGUGAAGGAGGUAGUAGUGACAGCAUCGAUAAAGGUGGCAGUCACAUGGCAGAUGUGUCAGUGGCGGUAAUUCAGAUCAAUCUUUUAUACAUAAUAUUAAAUAUUAAACAAGGUAGUGGAAUUGACAUCUGCUCUACAAACUUACUCU
rnacentral:lncRNA from 1 species